CAAAACAAGCAGAGGGGGCUUAGUGGUGGGGUGACUGCGUACCUUUUGUAUAAUGGGUCAGCGACUUAUAUUCUGUAGCAAGGUUAACCGAAUAGGGGAGCCGGAGGGAAACCGAGUCUUAAUUGGGCGUUAAGUUGCAGGGUAUAGACCCGAAACCCGGUGAUCUAGCCAUGGGCAGGUUGAAGGUUGGGUAACACUAACUGGAGGACCGAACCGACUAAUGUUGAAAAAUUAGCGGAUGACCUGUGGCUGGGGGUGAAAGGCCAAUCAAACCGGGAGAUAGCUGGUUCUCCCCGAAAGCUAUUUAGGUAGCGCCUCGUGAAUUCAUCUCCGGGGGUAGAGCACUGUUUCGGCUAGGGGGCCAUCCCGGCUUACCAACCCGAUGCAAACUGCGAAUACCGGAGAAUGUUAUCACGGGAGACACACGGCGGGUGCUAACGUCCGUCGUGAAGAGGGAAACAACCCAGACCGCCAGCUAAGGUCCCAAAGUCAUGGUUAAGUGGGAAACGAUGUGGGAAGGCCCAGACAGCCAGGAUGUUGGCUUAGAAGCAGCCAUCAUUUAAAGAAAGCGUAAUAGCUCACUGGUCGAGUCGGCCUGCGCGGAAGAUGUAACGGGGCUAAACCAU
rnacentral:rRNA from 1 species